AACGAACGCUGGCGGCAGGCCUAACACAUGCAAGUCGAGCGCCCCUUCGGGGGAGCGGCGGACGGGUGAGUAACGCGUGGGAACGUACCCUUUGCUACGGAAUAGCCUCGGGAAACUGGGAGUAAUACCGUAUGUGCCCUUCGGGGAAAGAUUUAUCGGCAAAGGAUCGGCCCGCGUUGGAUUAGGUAGUUGGUGGGGUAAUGGCCUACCAAGCCGACGAUCCAUAGCUGGUUUGAGAGGAUGAUCAGCCACACUGGGACUGAGACACGGCCCAGACUCCUACGGGAGGCAGCAGUGGGGAAUCUUAGACAAUGGGCGCAAGCCUGAUCUAGCCAUGCCGCGUGAGCGAUGAAGGCCUUAGGGUUGUAAAGCUCUUUCAGGGGGGAAGAUAAUGACUGUACCCCCAGAAGAAGCCCCGGCUAACUCCGUG
rnacentral:rRNA from 1 species